UGAUCCUAUAGUAUAAUGGUUAGUACACUUGGCUUUGAACCAAGGAAUCUCUGUUCGAUUCAGAGUAGGAUCAU
rnacentral:tRNA from 1 species